CUUGGUAUGGGGAAGGCAUCCUCCUCAAAGGAUCUUUUAUGGUUUGCUACAUGUAGGAAAGUACAGGUCAGAUAACCCUUUCCACAACUACAGUUGUUUAAGUGCUUACAGUUCCUUAAAUAAUCAGUAUAUCAAAUCGGCAUAUUUUGGGGUAGAUCAUCCUUAACUCCUUGACUAACAGUUAACAAGUGCUUAUUUGCAACAAUUUUAGAGAUACGGUUUUUUUAUUUAAUCAGCAAUCUAAUGAGGAGUUGCUCUUUGCCCCAUUUUACACAGGAGGAAACUGAAGCUUAAGCCACUCAGCUGAUAAGCAGAAGACCUGGGAUUUCACUGCAGAUCUUUGACUGACCUACUAGAGUUACGUAGAUGGGAUUCUUAAGUAUUUGGGGUGAGGGAAGGGUGUCACAACAAUAGAGCUUGAAAGGUAGUGCCUUUAAAAAUAACAGUCCCAAGAAUGUGCCCCACUAUUGUUUGAUGUAAUUCAAGCCUUAAAUAGCUUUAGUUUGAGGUUUUAGAUUCUGCAGAAGGAAUUGGUUUUUGUAUUUCAGUCCUUCUGAGCUUUGUUCAUUCUAUGGAGCUCCUGCAGUUAUAGAGAAAGCAUAGUGUUUAGGCAUCAGCAGACAUUUACUGAGCACUGUGUGCCAUGCCCUUUUAUUGGGGUUUUAGAAAUGACCUGGCAAGGUCAUUAGCUUAAAUGGACUGGGCAUUUGUAUACUAGGAUCCUAUUCCUAUCUGGGGCUACAAAUUAGAAAUGGCUAUGUGAUUAUGGAAAAACCAGUAGGGAGCCCUCUCAAACCCCCCUGCCAUUGGUGAAAUCAAAGUCAGGACCACAGUUUAAGAACUAGUAUGCUCAUGGUGCAUGGGCUGUGGUGCCAGGGAUUGCAAAACUGGCACUGUCCCCAGGAAAUCCAUACUGUAUGAUCGCUUGUCCAACAGAGGAAAAGCAGAGAAUCCUGAGAUGUCCUAGCUGGAAGGGCUGCGAGUUCACUGGGUUUUCUCCAUUGUAUGACAGAGGAGACAGGCCCAGAGAGGGGAAGGGACUUGCCUGAGAUUGUGCAGCAGGUUUGUAGCAGAACAGAGGCCAGAACCAGUCUUUCCUGUUUCCAGACCAGGGCUUCUUCCCAGUACUGCACUAUGAACCCAAUUUUGAGCCUGUGCAUAAGCCUGUUGACCUCUCUAGAGGGUAGGCUCUGGAAGUAGGUAAACUAAGUGGUAGGCUUUGAAUAGUGGGCAUUGUUAAUCAAAGGGGAAGGAGUGAAGACAGCAAGGCUAGCUAGUAAAAAUAAAAUCAACUAUGUUAAGCAACUUUAGGAGAAAGUCAAGUUCAUGAGACUUUAUAGAGACAAAACAGGAAGAAGCAGCUAGCAGAACUGCAGUGUUUUGCAUUUUUGUGACCACAAAUGUUAGGUGAGCCCGGAACACAGUGAAAUUGACCAAGUAGGGUUAAGGUUUGAGUAAGGGCUAAACUGUUGAAAUGCUAUUCCUGGUCACUCUGGCAACUGGGUCUCUUUCCCAUGCUGAAGGCAUUAAAAUAAGAUAAAACAUGCAAAUGCACCAGAUCAGAAUCAAAGGUGUAGUCAUACAAAGUCUGGAUUGCUCCAUUUUAAGGAAAGGUCUAGAAGUUUAUGCCUCAGAAAGCAAAUGAAGACAUGAGGGGAAGAAUUUGAAUUACAUAUAUGAAGAUUAAAUUAGUCCUGCAAACUUGCAUACUCAUUUUUCUUCCCAUUGACUCUGGUCACACGCAUCGUAGAUAAUGAAUCAUGUAGUUGCGUGCUCUAUUGUCUUUCCUGUUCUACUCAAUAAUACAGUUGCCAGUAAGAAAACAUGCUCAUUCUUCUAGGGAUCUAUCUAAAUUGGUCUGGGUUGUAGAAUAUAGAGCAACUUGCUGCUUAGAUGAGUGGUUCCCAAAGUUUAACAUGCAUCAGGGGCACCUGGAAGGAAUCGGCAGCUGCUACAUAGCAGAUUUUGAGAACACUCAACUGGGAGUCUCCACUCCCUAAAGCAGGAGCCCAAAGCAGAAAUCACAAUGUUGGGCCAGGGUCACUGGGCAUAUACUUUAUUCUAGGCCCAUCACCCAAACAGGUGUGUUAAAUUUGUCCCCCUUUCUCUUCUUUGAAGUUGUAACCAUGGUACUAUUUGUUUUGCGUUGUCUGCACUGUGUCUGGGGAAGUACACCUUUUUGUGUGUGUACUAGCACCUGCUGGGAUGCACAGUCAUAGCUGUAGAGCUGGAAGGCCUUGAGAGACCACAGAGCCCUUCAUUCCGUUCUUUUUUGCAUAGCAGUGCCUCUUUUUAUAGAGGAUGUAUUAGGCUGUUCUCGCACUGCUAUAAAGAAAUACCUGAGACUGUGUGAUAUGGUUUGGGUCUGUGUCCCUGCCCAAAUCUCAUGUCAAAUUGUAACCCCCAGUGUUGGAAGUGGGGCCUGGUGGGAGGUGAUUAGAUCCUGGGGGCAGAUUUCCCCUUUGGUGUUCUUGUGGUAGUAAAUUAUUGUGAGAUCUGGUUCUUUAAAAGUGUAUGGCACCUCCCUGCCUCUCUCUUCCUUCUGCUCAGGCCAUGUAAGAAGUACCUGCUUCCCCUUUGCCUUCUGCCGUGAUUCUAAGUUUCCUGAGGCCUCUCCAGCCAUGCUUCCUGUACAGCCUGUGGAACUGUGAGUGAGCCACCCAUGUAAGACGUGACUUAUUCCUCCUUGCCUUCCGCCAUGAUUGUGAGGCCUCCCUAGCCAUUCAGAACUGUGAGGGUUCCACACUCCAGAGUCUCCCUUUAUCUAGUUCUUGGGAGUCUAGUGCAGCUGAAGAUGAGGUACUGCGGAUGAAGAGGAAGACAAGGUACUGUGGAUGAAGAGAAACCCAGAUAAUCCAGGCACAUUUUAUAGACAAGGCCUCAACGACCCCAAAGGAACCUUUGAAAUCACCCUUUUCCUGGGUUCAUGACGACUUGUAAAUGAUACCAUCCAUCCCUGCUUAUUCAUACUUAUUAAAUACCAGAAUAAAGAGAUUAGAGCUCACGAGGGGCUUCCUCCCCAUCACUCUGGGGCUACUUGGC